rnacentral:rRNA from 1 species
CCUACGGGUGGCUGCAGUAAGGAAUAUUGGUCAAUGGACGCAAGUCUGAACCAGCCAUGCCGCGUGGAGGAUGAAGGUCCUCUGGAUUGUAAACUUCUUUUAUUUGGGAAGAAACUCCCGAUUUCCAUCGGGAUUGACGGUACCAGAUGAAUAAGCACCGGCUAACUCCGUGCCAGCAGCCGCGGUAAUACGGAGGGUGCAGGCGUUAUCCGGAUUCAAGGGGGCUAAAGUGUGCAGAGGUGGCAGUGUUGAAAUCUCCGGGCUUAACCCGGAAACUGCCAUUGAUACUAUUUGUCUUGAAUACUCUGGAGGUGAGCGGAAUAUGUCAUGUAGCGGUGAAAUGCUUAGAUAUGACAUAGAACACCCAUUGCGAAGGCAGCUCACUACGGAAAUAUUGACGCUGAGGCACGAAAGCGUGGGGAUCAAACAGGAUUAGAUACCCUUGUAGUC